UACGUAGGGCCGAGCGUUGUCCGGAGUUACUGGGCGUAAAGCGCGCGCAGGCGGCUCGUCAAGCCUGACGGUGAAGCCCCGGCUCAACCGGGGAGGGUCGUCGGGGACCUGGCGGGCUUGAGGUCGGCAGGGGUUGGUGGAAUUCCCCGGUGUAGUGGUGAAAUGCGCAGAUAUCGGGAGGAACACCAAUGGCGAAGGCAGGCU
rnacentral:rRNA from 1 species